AACGAACGCUGGCGGCAUGCCUAACACAUGCAAGUCGAACGAGACCUUCGGGUCUAGUGGCGCACGGGUGCGUAACGCGUGGGAACCUGCCCUUAGGUUCGGAAUAACUCCCCGAAAGGGGUGCUAAUACCGGAUAAUGUCUUCGGACCAAAGAUUUAUCGCCUUUGGAUGGGCCCGCGUUGGAUUAGCCAGUUGGUAGGGUAAAAGCCUACCAAGGCGACGAUCCAUAGCUGGUCUGAGAGGAUGAUCAGCCAGACUGGGACUGAGACACGGCCCAGAAUCCUACGGGAGGCAGCAGUGGGGAAUAUUGGACAAUGGGCGAAAGCCUGAUCCAGCAAUGCCGCGUGAGUGAUGAAGGCCUUAGGGUUGUAAAGCUCUUUUACCCGGGAUGAUAAUGACAGUACCGGGAGAAUAAGCUCCGGCUAACUCCGUG
rnacentral:rRNA from 1 species